rnacentral:rRNA from 1 species
AGCGAACGUUAGCGGCGGGCCUAACACAUGCAAGUCGAGCGAGAAAGUGGCUUCGGCCAUCAGUAAAGCGGCGGACGGGUGAGUAACACGUAGGUAAUCUUCCCUUGAGCGGGGGACAACGUUUCGAAAGGAACGCUAAUACCGCAUAAGUUUCCGUAGGCCUCCGGGUUUUGGUAAGGAAAGCUAGGUCGCAAGAUCCGGCACUCGAGGAGGAGCCUGCGUCGCAUCAGCUAGUUGGUGGGGUAAGUGGCCUACCAAGGCGAAGACGCGUAGCUGGUCUGAGAGGAUGAUCAGCCACACUGGGACUGAGACACGGCCCAGACUCCUACGGGAGGCAGCAGUGGGGAAUAUUGGACAAUGGGCGCAAGCCUGAUCCAGCCACGCCGCGUGAGUGAUGAAGGCCUUCGGU